rnacentral:rRNA from 1 species
GACAAACGCUGGCGGCGUGCUUAACACAUGCAAGUCGAACGAAGCAUAUAUGACGGAGACUUCGGUCAAAGACAUAUAUGACUGAGUGGCGGACGGGUGAGUAACGCGUGAGUAACCUGCCUUCAAGAGGGGGACAACUUAGGGAAACUUAAGCUAAUACCGCAUGACAUUGCGACUCCGCAUGGAGAUGCAAUCAAAGAUUUAUCGCUUGAAGAUGGACUCGCGUCCGAUUAGGUAGUUGGUGAGGUAACGGCUCACCAAGCCGACGAUCGGUAGCCGGACUGAGAGGUUGACCGGCCACAUUGGGACUGAGAUACGGCCCAGACUCCUACGGGAGGCAGCAGUGGGGAAUAUUGGGCAAUGGGGGAAACCCUGACCCAGCAACGCCGCGUGAAGGAAGAAGGCCUUCGGGUUGUAAACUUCUUUUACCAGGGACGAAUAAAUGACGGUACCUGGAGAAAAAGCAACGGCUAACUACGUG